rnacentral:rRNA from 1 species
UACGGGGGGGGGCAAGCGUUGUCCGGAAUCAUUGGGCGUAAAGCGCGUGUAGGCGGUUCGAUAAGUCUGCUGUGAAAGUCCAGGGCUCAACCCUGGGAUGCCGGUGGAUACUGUCGGGCUAGAGUGCGGAAGAGGCGAGUGGAAUUCCCGGUGUAGCGGUGAAAUGCGCAGAUAUCGGGAGGAACACCAAUUGCGAAGGCAGCUCGCUGGGACGUUACUGACGCUGAGACGCGAAAGCGUGGGGAGCAAACAGG